CAGAGACUGCGAGCGUUAUUCGGAUUCACUGGGCGUAAGGGGUGCGCAGGCGGCCGUGUGUGUGAGGCGUGAAAGCCUGGAGCUUAACUCCAGAAUUGCACCUCAAACUACACGGCUAGAGCAUUGGAGAGGGUAGCAGAAUUCAUGGUGUAGCAGUGAAAUGCGUAGAUAUCAUGAGGAAUACCAGAGGCGAAGGCGGCUACCUGGACAAUUGCUGACGCUCAGGCACGAAAGCGUGGGGAGCAAAAGGGAUUAGAUACCCCUGUAGUCCACGCCCUAAACGGUGCACACUAGGUCUUGGCGGAUUCGACCCCGCCAGGGCCCAAGCUAACGCGUUAAGUGUGCCGCCUGAGGACUACGGCCGCAAGGCUA
rnacentral:rRNA from 1 species